AGAGUUUGAUCCUGGCUCAGAUUGAACGCUGGCGGCAUGCCUUACACAUGCAAGUCGAACGGCAGCACGGGGGUAACCCUGGUGGCGAGUGGCGAACGGGUGAGUAAUACAUCGGAACGUGUCCUGUAGUGGGGGAUAGCCCGGCGAAAGCCGGAUUAAUACCGCAUACGAUCUACGGAAGAAAGCGGGGGAUCCUUCGGGACCUCGCGCUAUAGGAGCGGCCGAUGGCAGAUUAGCUAGUUGGUGGGGUAAAGGCCUACCAAGGCGACGAUCUGUAGCUGGUCUGAGAGGACGACCAGCCACACUGGGACUGAGACACGGCCCAGACUCCUACGGGAGGCAGCAGUGGGGAAUUUUGGACAAUGGGGGAAACCCUGAUCCAGCAAUGCCGCGUGUGUGAAGAAGGCCUUCGGGUUGUAAAGCACUUUU
rnacentral:rRNA from 1 species